UACGAAGGGGGCUAGCGUUGCUCGGAUUGACUGGGCGUAAAGGGCGCGUAGGCGGCCAACUAAGUCAGACGUGAAAUCCCUCGGCUUAACCGGGGAACUGCGUCUGAUACUGGAUGGCUUGAGUUUGGGAGAGGGAUGCGGAAUUCCAGGUGUAGCGGUGAAAUGCGUAGAUAUCUGGAGGAACACCGGUGGCGAAGGCGGCUCACUGGCCCGAUACUGACGCUGAGGCACGAAAGCGUGGGGAGCAAACAGG
rnacentral:rRNA from 1 species